rnacentral:rRNA from 1 species
GCGUGUGUGAUGAAGGCCUUAGGGUUGUAAAGCACUUUCACCGGUGACGAUGAUGACGGUAGCCGGAGAAGAAGCCCCGGCUAACUCCGUGCCAGCAGCCGCGGUAAUACGGAGGGGGCGAGCGUUGUUCGGAUUUACUGGGCGUAAAGGGCGCGUAGGCGGCGCGGUCAGUCAGGCGUGAAAGCCCAGGGCUCAACCCUGGAAUAGCGCUUGAUACUGCCGUGCUGGAGACCGGAAGAGGGUAGUGGAAUUCCCAGUGUAGAGGUGAAAUUCGU